GGGACAUACUCUGUGUCCCGUAGCUCCUUCUGUCUGUGUCACCCUGCAGUGGGAGGGACAUACUCAGUGUCCCAUAGCUCCUUCUAUCUGUGUCACCCUACAGAACUAUGUCCCAUAGCUAGUUCUGUCUAUGUCACCCGGCAGUGGGAGGUACAGACUUUGUCGCAUAGCUUCUUCUGUCUGUGUCACCCUGCAGCGAAG